rnacentral:rRNA from 1 species
CCCGUUGAUCCUGCGGGAGAUUGCUGCUAUUGGGAUUCGACUAAGCCAUGCAAGUCAAGGGGUUGCUUCGGCAACACCGGCAAACCGCUCAGUAACACGUCGAUAAUUUACCCUUAGGUUAGGAAUAACUUCUGGAAACUGAAGCUAAAACCUGAUAUGGAAAUUCUACUGGAAUGUGUUUUUCUAUAAACGCAAGGCCUAAGGAUAAGUUGGCGGUCGAUUAGGUUGUUGGUGAGGUAAAGGCUCACCAAGCCUAUGAUCGAUAGGGGCCUUGAGAGAGGUAACCUCGAGA